rnacentral:lncRNA from 1 species
CAACUGAAUAAUUUAGAAACUUAGAAUCAUUCAUGACACUUCCUUCCCCAGCACAUCCAACCAUUACCAUUGUGCCCUUAUAAAUCUGCCCUUAAGUCUGUUUACUGAACUCAGUUUUUUUUUUGUUUGAGCCGGAGUCUUGUUCUGUCACCAGACGGAGUCUUGCUCUGUCGCCAGGCUGGAGUACAGUGGCGCGAUCUUGGCUCACUGCAACCUCUGCCUCCCGGGUUCAAACAA